rnacentral:lncRNA from 1 species
UAAUGACAUCAAUUUUUAUACAAAAUAUGAAGUAUGAUUUAGAACUAUGCUUUUGAAUUACAGGUCUGGUGCAAAAUUUCCACAUGGUUCAGAAUACUACUAGAUGUGAAUACUAAAGCCUUAAGUUAUCACACUAUUGGAUAAUAUUUAUGAGACUACCUAAAGUUUGUGAGAAGACAGCAAGUUGUGUCAAAUGUGGGAUUCCUAUCAAUUUUUAUCUAGCUACGGGACACUUUACAAGCCAUUUGCCGAGCUUGCACAUUUGAAGCAGCAUCUCAUUAGCUUGGAUACUAAAAAUGUCUGGCCGGAUGGAAUACAUGAAUCACUAGAGGAGAACUGAAUGUGACUUUCUUUUUAUUCGUUUAACACAUCCACAAUGAGAACAUCCACUGUAAGGUAUUUCAGAACAAUUGUUCCUUCCUUUAUAAAUGUUUGUUCUUUGGGCAGG